rnacentral:rRNA from 1 species
CUUGGCGGCAAUAGCGCGGUGGUCCCACCUGACCCCAUGCCGAACUCAGAAGUGAAACGCCGUAGCGCCGAUGGUAGUGUGGGGUCUCCCCAU